rnacentral:misc_RNA from 1 species
AAGUCGUAACAAGGUUUCCGUAGGUGAACCUGCGGAAGGAUCAUUAACACGUAUCCACGUUAUCAACCAAUGAGAAUUUGUUUUCCCGUCUCCCUGCGCAAAGAAUGAAUUGGAACCAGUUUGAGGGAGUGAUGGGACCGAAAGGUCGGCCUUCCUGGAACACUUAUGUGAAUAGAAAUAUUUGCAUAGACAAUUGAAUCUUUGUACAGGCUAUUUCUUAUCGCUUUGAUCUCCAUCAUGAUCGUGGCGGUAGGGAAACCUUUCACACUAUUUACCUUUUUUGCUAGUUGACUUUUUAUAUGUGUUGUCUUGCGAAAGCAUAGGUGGCACACGUUUAUUAAUUGAACGUUAAAAAUACAACUCUUAGCAAUGGAUAUCUUGGUUCUC